AAGACUAUACUUUCAGGGAUCAUUUCUGUAGUUGGUCACUAGAGGAGAGUGAUCGCACGUGACCGGCAUCACAAGCCACGAGGAGGAGCUGGGCGACCUUUUCCAC
rnacentral:snoRNA from 1 species